rnacentral:sRNA from 1 species
CGCCGCUGUCCUGGGCGGCCCCGCCCUGGCGUUAUCCGCAUGACCCUCAUCGUUGGCUUGCUGCUGAGCCUGUGCCCGAC